UACAGAGGUCCCAAGCGUUGUUCGGAUUCAUUGGGCGUAAAGGGUGCGUAGGCGGCGCGGUAAGUCGGGUGUGAAAUCUCGGAGCUUAACUCCGAAACUGCAUUCGAUACUGCCGUGCUUGAGGACUGGAGAGGAGUCUGGAAUUUACGGUGUAGCGGUGAAAUGCGUAGAUAUCGUAAGGAAGACCAGUGGCGAAGGCGGGUCUCUGGACAGUUCCUGACGCUGAGGCACGAAGGCCAGGGGAGCAAACGGG
rnacentral:rRNA from 1 species